GAAGAAAAGUAGUGUGAUUUUGGAUGUAUUUACCAAGACUGACACUGAAAACGAAAUCAACUGCAAGUGCUAGCAAACGGUUGUUUCUGCUCAGAGCUUCUUCUUUCAUUUUGCUCUUCCUUCUGGGAUAAA